GUGUUUGCUUCAGCAGCACAUAUACUAAAAUUGGAAUGGUACAGAGAAGAUUAGCAUGGCCCCUGUGCAAGUAUGACAUGCAAAUUCGUGAAGCAUUCCAUAUUUUU
rnacentral:snRNA from 1 species